rnacentral:rRNA from 1 species
UACAGAGGUCUCAAGCGUUGUUCGGAAUUACUGGGCGUAAAGGGCUCGUAGGCGGCCAACUAAGUCAGACGUGAAAUCCCCAGGCUCAACCUGGGAACUGCGUCUGAUACUGGAUGGCUUGAAUCCGGGAGAGGGAUGCAGAAUUCCAGGUGUAGCGGUGAAAUGCGUAGAUAUCUGGAGGAAUACCGGUGGCGAAGGCGGCAUCCUGGACCGGCAUUGACGCUGAGGAGCGAAAGCCAGGGGAGCAAACGGG